GACGAACGCUGGCGGCGUGCUUAACACAUGCAAGUCGAACGGAAAGGCCCUGCUUGCAGGGUACUCGAGUGGCGAACGGGUGAGUAACACGUGGGUGGUCUGCCCUGCACUUUGGGAUAAGCCUGGGAAACUGGGUCUAAUACCGGAUAGGAGCCAUUUUUAGUGUGAUGGUUGGAAAGUUUUUUCGGUGUAGGAUGAGCUCGCGGCCUAUCAGCUUGUUGGUGGGGUAAUGGCCUACCAAGGCGGCGACGGGUAGCCGGCCUGAGAGGGAGGACGGCAACAUUGGGACUGGGAUACGGCCCAGACUCCUACGGGAGGCAGCAGUGGGGAAUAUUGCACAAUGGGCGCAAGCCUGAUGCAGCGACGCCGCGUGGGGGAUGACGGCCUUCGGGUUGUAAACUCCUUUCGCUAGGGACGAAAUGCUCUGACCUAACACGUCGGAGCUUGACGGUACCGGGUGAGGAAGCCCCGGCUAACUCUGUGCCAG
rnacentral:rRNA from 1 species